AGAGUUUGAUCCUGGCUCAGGACGAACGCUGGCGGUGUGCUUCACACAUGCAAGUCGAGCGAAUGAAGUAGGUAGCUUGCUACUUAUGGAUUUAGCGGCGGACGGGUGAGUAAUAUAUAGGAAUCUGCCUUAGAGCGGGGAACAACAGACCGAAAGGUUUGCUAAUGCCCCAUAGGUAUGCAGUCUUCGGACUGUAUAUUAAAGGAGUAAUCCACUCUAAGAUGAGCCUGUAUCCGAUUAGCUAGUUGGCGGGGUAAAGGCCCACCAAGGCUACGAUCGGUAGUUGGUCUGAGAGGAUGAUCAGCCACAAUGGGACUGAGACACGGCCCAUACUCCUACGGGAGGCAGCAGUGGGGAAUUUUACACAGUGGGGGAAACCCUGAUGUAGCGACACCGCGUGAACGAAGAAGCCUUUUGGGGUGUAAAGUUCUGUCGGCUGGAACGAAAAAAAUGACGGUACCAGCAAAGGAAGCAUCGGCUAACUACGUGCCAGCAGCCGCGGUAAGACGUAGGAUGCAAGCGUUGUCCGGAUUUAUUGGGCGUAAAGAGUUCGUAGGCGGUUAUUUAAGUCUGAUGUUAAAUACUGUGGCCCAACCACAGAACUGCAUUGGAUACUGGAUGACUUGAGUGCGGUAGAGGCAAGUGGAAUUCCCAGUGUAGCGGUGAAAUGCGUAGA
rnacentral:rRNA from 1 species